GUGCUUGCCUAAGCAGCACACACAUUAAAAUUGAAAUGAUAUAGAGAUUAGCAUGGCCCUUGUGAAAAGAUGAUAUAAAAAUUUUGAAGCAUUUCACAUUUUU
rnacentral:snRNA from 1 species